rnacentral:lncRNA from 1 species
GUGGCAGUGGAUUAUCAUGGUAUACUUCUUACGAAUUAAUGUUUAAAAAGAACUGUACUAAAUUAAAAACCGUACAGUUUUAUUUGCAUUUUGACUUGAUUAUAUAUACUUUUAAUUUAAAAGGCUGUACUAAUUGGCUUUCUUGUUUAUUCUCAAAAUAUAGAGGUUCUGUGAUUUCAUUUGCCCUGUUUAUGGGUUAAAAAUUCUAAUAUAAAACAUUUUAGUAGGAUGCAUAGGUAUGUUACAUUUUUUUAAAUGCUUCACAUCUGUGAUUCUUGACUUACUAUUUAUUUUAUCCCUUUAUAAAGUCAGGGAUUCUUUAUUCUGUUGUAAAGCACUUAAUGAGUUACAUGUUGUAAUCAAGUUUGCACAGUGUACUUAAUCUGUAUGGGGAACCCUUAAAUGAAUAGCUAAUUUUUCAAAUGCAAUUCAAAUGCAUGAAAUGCCUAUUAAGCCUUACUAUGCUAACCUUCAAGGCAAGUAAAUUGACCAUGAGCAAAGAACACUGUUAAUAAUCUCUGUUGAUGGGAAGUUUCUCCUUGAUAACAAGAAAAUAAAUGGGGGUGGGGGAAAAGGUUAAAACUAGGUUUGGUUGUUUGCAGCUUUUGUAUCAUGUUUAAUUGUUUAAUUUUGUUAAAAAAACUGCAGUUUAGAAAUAGGAUAGCAAUAUAGGUAUCUACAGCAGUCCUGUGGAUACCAUAUGAUUGUCAAGUAAUUUCAGAAUAUUGAAAAUUCUUCAGUUCAACCCUCAUUAUAGUAUACUACUUAAAGGAAUUGAUUAUGGCCCACCAAAUUGUUAAAAGUAAAUUCUUUUUAAAAGUUGCCUGAAAAAUUAAUUUGUGUGUUUGAUUUUUAAAUUCCCACCUCUGUAAGCUAUCUAAUUUUCUCAUUUUUCAAAAUAACCAUGGGGAGAUAUCACAUUUCUCUCCUGGGAUACUACCACUCAAGUUAUAAUUGUUAAAAUUAAACUUCUAAGUAUUAGAAUAAGCUAAUAUAAGGUGUAAAAUUAAGAUAUAAGCAAAUCACAUGUAAAUCAUUCCUAAAGCACAAGAAAAGAAUGUGCCUUGAUGUAUAUAUAUUAUUAAAAUGCUUAUUCCGGUUUACUUUAAGUGGCUUAAAAGAAAAAUAAAUGUGAUGCCAUGCAUGUGCUAUACCUGCAUAUGUAAUAUUUGCAUUUGCACAUUUCCCAUUGUUUCGGUAGCUGUGUGGCUGACUUUCAAUUUUAAGUGGAUUGACAUAACAGUCUACAGCUUUAUAAUGGCUGCUUGUUUAAUCGUAUGUUUCAGUUAGUGAAAAUGUAUUUCAAUCUAAAAUUUGGAAUUGUCUUUAUGUUCCAUUGUCACCACUGUUAUUAGAUUUAGUUAAUUGGGUAAGACCAUUAAUGUAUGUCAUAAAUAUGUAAAUAAAAGAUGUUGAAUCUUGUUUAAAGCAUAAGCUUUGAAGUUAAGCUUGUCACUAUUUUCAGCUCAUAAGUCAGUUGCUGUUAUUUAUUAUUAAGUUAAUCCAUUUUUAAAGAGGAGGGGAAUUGAACACAUAAAAAAUAACCACUGAGGGAACAUAUAAUACUAUUAAGACUUAUUAUUAAACAUAAUCUUAACAACAAAAUCAAAAGUAGUACAAUUAACUGCCAUGUUUGGAUAAUUUAAGUGUGUUUAGAGAAUUACAUAAAUUUCAUGCAGAAGUAAGUAUAAAGAUUCCAAAAAUUCAGUUUUAUAUUUCCAUGGAGAAACCGUUUAUAAUAAUUCCUUUCUAAAAGCACACAUUGAUUUGUUGUUGUCAGAUCAGGUAUCUCCUGAUUAAAUCUGCUUGUUAGUGCUGUUUUAUUAAAUUUCAGUGGCUUUUUACGUAAUUUCACAGUUACUUUAACUGCUGGAUUUAGUCUAGACCUUCAGUGUCUUUUUAUCUUUUUUAAUAGCUGUGGUGUAACUGUACAUGAUGCUUCCCACUCAUAACUGAAUUAGAGGAUUCAACCUAUAAUGGCAGUUUAAACCUUAAGGAACCAUGGAGGUUCCUAAACAGGGGUUUUACAUGUACUGUUUGGAUAAAUAUAUCAGGCUUAUUUUAU